rnacentral:rRNA from 1 species
CCUACAGGGGGCAGCAGUGAGGAAUAUUGGUCAAUGGGCGCGAGCCUGACCCAGCCAAGUAGCGUGAAGGAUGACUGCCCUACGGGUUGUAAACUUCUUUUAUAAAGGAAUACAGUGAGGCACGUGCGCCUUUUUGUAUGUACUUUAUGACUUAGGAUCGGCUAAGUUCGUGCCAGCAGCCGCGGUAAUACGGAGGUUCCGAGCGUUUUCCGGAUUUAUUGGGUGUAAAGGGAGCGUAGAUGGGUUGUUAAGUCAGUUGUGAAAGUUUGCGGCUCAACCGUAAAAUUGCAAUUGAUACUGGCAGUCUUGAGUACAGUUGAGGUAGGCGGAAUUCGUGGUGUAGCGGUGAAAUGCUUAGAUAUCACGAAGAACUCCGAUUGCGAAGGCAGCUUACUAAACUGCCACUGACGUUGAUGCGCGAAAGUGUGGGUAUCAAACAGGAUUAGAUACCCUUGUAGUC